rnacentral:rRNA from 1 species
GACGAACGCUGGCGGCGUGCUUAACACAUGCAAGUCGAACGGAAAGGCCCUGCUUUUGUGGGGUGCUCGAGUGGCGAACGGGUGAGUAACACGUGAGUAACCUGCCCUUGACUUUGGGAUAACUUCAGGAAACUGGGGCUAAUACCGGAUAGGAGCUCCUGCUGCAUGGUGGGGGUUGGAAAGUUUCGGCGGUUGGGGAUGGACUCGCGGCUUAUCAGCUUGUUGGUGGGGUAGUGGCUUACCAAGGCUUUGACGGGUAGCCGGCCUGAGAGGGUGACCGGCCACAUGGGGACCGAGAUACGGCCCAGACUCCUACGGGAGGCAGCAGUGGGGAAUAUUGCACAAUGGGCGAAAGCCUGAUGCAGCAACGCCGCGUGCGGGAUGACGGCCUUCGGGUUGUAAACCGCUUUCGCCUGUGACGAAGCGUGAGUGACGGUAAUGGGUAAAGAAGCACCGGCUAACUACGU